rnacentral:rRNA from 1 species
CAGUAGCCACGGUAAUACGGAGGGGGCUAGCGUUGUUCGGAAUUACUGGGCGUAAAGCGCACGUAGGCGGCUUUGUAAGUCAGAGGUGAAAGCCUGGAGCUCAACUCCAGAACUGCCUUUGAGACUGCAUCGCUUGAAUCCAGGAGAGGUCAGUGGAAUUCCGAGUGUAGAGGUGAAAUUCGUAGAUAUUCGGAAGAACACCAGUGGCGAAGGCGGCUCACUGGCUCAUUCUAGACGCUGAGGUGCGAAAGCGUGGGGAGCAAACAGGAUUAGAUACCCCCGUAGUCCCUGUCUCUUAUAA